rnacentral:rRNA from 1 species
AUUGAACGCUGGCGGCAGGCCUAACACAUGCAAGUCGAACGGAGUGGCGGACGGGUGAGUAAUGUAUGGGAAACUGCCUGAUAGAGGGGGAUAACUACUGGAAACGGUAGCUAAUACCGCAUACUAUAAGAUGAGCAUAGGUCGGAUUAGCUAGUUGGGGGGGUAAAGGCCUACAAAGGCGACGAUCCGUAACUGGUCUGAGAGGAUGAUCAGUCACACUGUAACUGAGACACGGUCCAGACUCCUACGGUAGUCAGCAGUGGGGAAGAUUGGACAAGGGGCGAAAGCCUGAUGCAGCCAUGCCGCGUGUGUGAAGAAGGUCUUCGGAUUGUAAAGCACUUUAAGUUGGGAGGCGUUACCAACAGAAUAAGCACCGGCUAACUUCGUGCCAGCAGCCGCGGUAAUUC